rnacentral:rRNA from 1 species
GAUGAACGCUGGCGGCGUGCCUAAUACAUGCAAGUCGAGCGAAUGGAUUAAGAGCUUGCUCUUAUGAAGUUAGCGGCGGACGGGUGAGUAACACGUGGGUAACCUGCCCAUAAGACUGGGAUAACUCCGGGAAACCGGGGCUAAUACCGGAUAACAUUUUGAACCGCAUGGUUCGAAAUUGAAAGGCGGCUUCGGCUGUCACUUAUGGAUGGACCCGCGUCGCAUUAGCUAGUUGGUGAGGUAACGGCUAACCAAGGCAACGAUGCGUAGCCGACCUGAGAGGGUGAUCGGCAACACUGGGACUGAGACACGGCCCAGACUCCUACGGGAGGCAGCAGUAGGGAAUCUUCCGCAAUGGACGAAAGUCUGACGGAGCAACGCCGCGUGAGUGAUGAAGGCUUUCGGGUCGUAAAACCCUGUUGUUAGGGAAGAACAAGUGCUAGUUGAAUAAGCUGGCACCUUGACGGUACCUAACCAGAAAGCCACGGCUAACUACGUGCCAGCCGCCGCUGUAA